rnacentral:rRNA from 1 species
GGAGUCUGGACCGUGUCUCAGUUCCAGUGUGGGGGACCUUCCUCUCAGAACCCCUAGACAUCGUCGCCUUGGUGGGCCGUUACCCCGCCAACCAGCUAAUGUCACGCGAGCCAAUCCGUAUCCGCCGUAACUUUCAAACACUCCCCAUGCGAAGAAUGUUGUUAUGGGGUAUUAGGCGACGUUUCCAUCGGUUAUCCCCCUGAUACGGGUAUGUUGCUCACGCGUUACGCACCCUUCCGCCGGUCGCCGCCAGGUAUUGCUACCCGCGCUGCCCCGCGACUUGCAUGUGUUAAGCCUGCCGCUAGCGUUCAUC